GACGGAGGGUGCAAACGUUGUUCGGAAUUACUGGGCGUAAAGCGUGUGUAGGCGGCCCUGCAAGUCGGAUGUGAAAGCCCCGGGCUCAACCCGGGAAGUGCACCCGAAACUGCAGGGCUCGAGUACCGGAGAGGUUGGUGGAAUUCUCGGUGUAGAGGUGAAAUUCGUAGAUAUCGAGAGGAACACCGGUGGCGAAGGCGGCCAACUGGACGAGUACUGACGCUGAGACACGAAAGCGUGGGGAGCAAACAGG
rnacentral:rRNA from 1 species